GCGGCAGGAUCGCCUCCCGCUCCCACCCGGCACAUCCAGCCUGGCCUCGCCUCCCCUCGCCCGCCCCGAUCCAUCCCGGCCCGCCCCGAUCCCACGCGAUCCUCCCUCCUGCCCGGGGACCAUGCCCAAGAAAGAUAAUAAUAAAUAAAGAAGGCAAAGUGAAUUACAUGCAGCUGAAGAAGGAUUUUGACCAGAAAAAGGCAAGAAUACAGUUUCAUCAGCCUCAGAGAUUUAAGGAGGAGCUGUGGAAGAUUUUCAGGAGAAGCUGGAGUGCUGCUUUGGGUCUCUGGUGGGGUCCAAUGUUUCCAUCACUGCCCAGGGAUCCCAGGGCCUUCCUCCUCACUAUGAUGAUGUUGAGCCAGGUGACUUACUGUGCUUCCCAAGAGGGACCAUCCACCAAGCUGACACUCCUCUUGGGACCUCCCAUUCCACACACGUGACCAUCAGUACCUACCAAAACAAGUCAUUAUUCUUUAUCUUUUGUUUUGUGUGGCUUUCCUCUGCCAAGUGAUGUGUGUGAGUAGUACAGACCUGAGAUGUGGUGAAGUUCUGGGGCUUGGGGGAAGGAGGGGAGCAAGAAGACUGUUGUUAUUUGAAACAGCAAGCUUGAUUGCUUUUUAAUUGCUUAUUUUAUU